GGUUAAGCGACUAAGCGUACACGGUGGAUGCCCCGGCAGUCAGAGGCGAUGAAGGACGUGCUAAUCUGCGAUAAGCGUCGGUAAGGUGAUAUGAACCGUUAUAACCGGCGAUUUCCGAAUGGGGAAACCCAGUGUGUUUCGACACACUAUCAUUAACUGAAUCCAUAGGUUAAUGAGGCGAACCGGGGGAACUGAAACAUCUAAGUACCCCGAGGAAAAGAAAUCAACCGAGAUUCCCCCAGUAGCGGCGAGCGAACGGGGAGCAGCCCAGAGCCUGAAUCAGUGUGUGUGUUAGUGGAAGCGUCUGGAAAGGCGCGCGAUACAGGGUGACAGCCCCGUACACAAAAAUGCACAUGCUGUGAGCUCGAUGAGUAGGGCGGGACACGUGGUAUCCUGUCUGAAUAUGGGGGACCAUCCUCCAAGGCUAAAUACUCCUGACUGACCGAUAGUGAACCAGUACCGUGAGGGAAAGGCGAAAAGAACCCCGGCGAGGGGAGUGAAAAAGAACCUGAAACCGUGUACGUACAAGCAGUGGGAGCACGCUUCGGCGUGUGACUGCGUACCUUUUGUAUAAUGGGUCAGCGACUUAUAUUCUGUAGCAAGGUUAACCGAAUAGGGGAGCCGAAGGGAAACCGAGUCUUAACUGGGCGUUAAGUUGCAGGGUAUAGACCCGAAACCCGGUGAUCUAGCCAUGGGCAGGUUGAAGGUUGGGUAACACUAACUGGAGGACCGAACCGACUAAUGUUGAAAAAUUAGCGGAUGACUUGUGGCUGGGGGUGAAAGGCCAAUCAAACCGGGAGAUAGCUGGUUCUCCCCGAAAGCUAUUUAGGUAGCGCCUCGUGAAUUCAUCUCCGGGGGUAGAGCACUGUUUCGGCAAGGGGGUCAUCCCGACUUACCAACCCGAUGCAAACUGCGAAUACCGGAGAAUGUUAUCACGGGAGACACACGGCGGGUGCUAACGUCCGUCGUGAAGAGGGAAACAACCCAGACCGCCAGCUAAGGUCCCAAAGUCAUGGUUAAGUGGGAAACGAUGUGGGAAGGCCCAGACAGCCAGGAUGUUGGCUUAGAAGCAGCCAUCAUUUAAAGAAAGCGUAAUAGCUCACUGGUCGAGUCGGCCUGCGCGGAAGAUGUAACGGGGCUAAACCAUGCACCGAAGCUGCGGCAGCGACGCUGAUGCGUUGUUGGGUAGGGGAGCGUUCUGUAAGCCUGCGAAGGUGUGCUGUGAGGCAUGCUGGAGGUAUCAGAAGUGCGAAUGCUGACAUAAGUAACGAUAAAGCGGGUGAAAAGCCCGCUCGCCGGAAGACCAAGGGUUCCUGUCCAACGUUAAUCGGGGCAGGGUGAGUCGACCCCUAAGGCGAGGCCGAAAGGCGUAGUCGAUGGGAAACAGGUUAAUAUUCCUGUACUUGGUGUUACUGCGAAGGGGGACGGAGAAGGCUAUGUUGGCCGGGCGACGGUUGUCCCGGUUUAAGCGUGUAGGCUGGUUUUCCGGGCAAAUCCGGAAAAUCGAGGCUGAGGCGUGAUGACGAGGCACUACGGUGCUGAAGCAACAAAUGCCCUGCUUCCGGGAAAAGCCUCUAAGCAUCAGGUAACAUCAAAUCGUACCCCAAACCGACACAGGUGGUCAGGUAGAGAAUACCAAGGCGCUUGAGAGAACUCGGGUGAAGGAACUAGGCAAAAUGGUGCCGUAACUUCGGGAGAAGGCACGCUGAUAUGUAGGUGAAGCGACUUGCUCGUGGAGCUGAAAUCAGUCGAAGAUACCAGCUGGCUGCAACUGUUUAUUAAAAACACAGCACUGUGCAAACACGAAAGUGGACGUAUACGGUGUGACGCCUGCCCGGUGCCGGAAGGUUAAUUGAUGGGGUCAGCGCAAGCGAAGCUCUUGAUCGAAGCCCCGGUAAACGGCGGCCGUAACUAUAACGGUCCUAAGGUAGCGAAAUUCCUUGUCGGGUAAGUUCCGACCUGCACGAAUGGCGUAAUGAUGGCCGUGCUGUCUCCACCCGAGACUCAGUGAAAUUGAACUCGCUGUGAAGAUGCAGUGUACCCGCGGCAAGACGGAAAGACCCCGUGAACCUUUACUAUAGCUUGACACUGAACAUUGAGCCUUGAUGUGUAGGAUAGGUGGGAGGCUUUGAAGUGUGGACGCCAGUCUGCAUGGAGCCGACCUUGAAAUACCACCCUUUAAUGUUUGAUGUUCUAACGUUGACCCGUAAUCCGGGUUGCGGACAGUGUCUGGUGGGUAGUUUGACUGGGGCGGUCUCCUCCUAAAGAGUAACGGAGGAGCACGAAGGUUGGCUAAUCCUGGUCGGACAUCAGGAGGUUAGUGCAAUGGCAUAAGCCAGCUUGACUGCGAGCGUGACGGCGCGAGCAGGUGCGAAAGCAGGUCAUAGUGAUCCGGUGGUUCUGAAUGGAAGGGCCAUCGCUCAACGGAUAAAAGGUACUCCGGGGAUAACAGGCUGAUACCGCCCAAGAGUUCAUAUCGACGGCGGUGUUUGGCACCUCGAUGUCGGCUCAUCACAUCCUGGGGCUGAAGUAGGUCCCAAGGGUAUGGCUGUUCGCCAUUUAAAGUGGUACGCGAGCUGGGUUUAGAACGUCGUGAGACAGUUCGGUCCCUAUCUGCCGUGGGCGCUGGAGAACUGAGGGGGCUGCUCCUAGUACGAGAGGACCGGAGUGGACGCAUCACUGGUGUUCGGGUUGUCAUGCCAAUGGCACUGCCCGGUAGCUAAAUGCGGAAGAGAUAAGUGCUGAAAGCAUCUAAGCACGAAACUUGCCCCGAGAUGAGUUCUCCCUGACUCCUUGAGAGUCCUGAAGGAACGUUGAAGACGACGACGUUGAUAGGCCGGGUGUGUAAGCGCAGCGAUGCGUUGAGCUAACCGGUACUAAUGAACCGUGAGGCUUAACCUU
rnacentral:rRNA from 1 species